rnacentral:rRNA from 1 species
UGGGGAAUAUUGUACAAUGGGGGAAACCCUGAUGCAGCGACGCCGCGUGGAGGAAGAAGGUCUUCGGAUUGUAAACUCCUGUUGUUGGGGAAGAUAAUGACGGUACCCAACAAGGAAGUGACGGCUAACUACGUGCCAGCAGCCGCGGUAAAACGUAGGUCACAAGCGUUGUCCGGAAUUACUGGGUGUAAAGGGAGCGCAGGCGGGAAGACAAGUUGGAAGUGAAAUCUAUGGGCUCAACCCAUAAACUGCUUUCAAAACUGUUUUUCUUGAGUAGUGCAGAGGUAGGCGGAAUUCCCGGUGUAGCGGUGGAAUGCGUAGAUAUCGGGAGGAACACCAGUGGCGAAGGCGGCCUACUGGGCACCAACUGACGCUGAGGCUCGAAAGUGUGGGUAGCAAACAGGAUUAGAUACCCUGGUAGUCCACACCGUAAACGAUGAUUACUAGGUGUUGGAGGAUUGACCCCUUCAGUGCCGCAGUUAACACAAUAAGUAAUCCACCUGGGGAGUACGACCGCAAGGUUGAAACUCAAAGGAAUUGACGGGGGCCCGCACAAGCAGUGGAGUAUGUGGUUUAAUUCGACGCAACGCGAAGAACCUUACCAAGUCUUGACAUCCCUUGACAGGCAUAGAAAUAUGUUUUCUCUUCGGAGCAAGGAGACAGGUGGUGCAUGGUUGUCGUCAGCUCGUGUCGUGAGAUGUUGGGUUAAGUCCCGCAACGAGCGCAACCCUUAUGGUCAGUUACUACGCAAGAGGACUCUGGCCAGACUGCCGUUGACAAAACGGAGGAAGGUGGGGAUGACGUCAAAUCAUCAUGCCCUUUAUGACUUGGGCUACACACGUACUACAAUGGCGUUAAACAAAGAGAAGCAAGACCGCGAGGUGGAGUAAAACUCAGAAACAACGUCCCAGUUCGGACUGCAGGCUGCAACUCGCCUGCACGAAGUCGGAAUUGCUAGUAAUCGUGGAUCAGCAUGCCACGGUGAAUACGUUCCC